UGCAAGUCGAACGAGGUGUGUGGAAGGUAACGGAAGCACAUUUAGUGGCGAACGGGUGAGGAAUAGAUAGGUAACGUACCCCGGACACAGGAAUAGCGGCGUCCCGACUUGUCGGGACUUUGCGAAAGUGCCGGUAAUACCUGAUGACAUCACUGGAUCGCAUGGUCCGGUGAUCAAAGGUCCGCAGGUCUGGGAGCGGCCUAUCUCCUAUCAGCUUGUUGGUGGGGUAAUGGCCUACCAAGGCUUCAACAGGUACCAGGCGUGAGAGCGCGAUCUGGCACAUCGGGACUGAGACACUGCCCGGACAUCUACGGAUGGCUGCAGCAACGAAUAUUCCGCAAUGGGCGCAAGCCUGACGGAGCGACGCCGCGUGUAGGAUGAAGCACUUCGGUGUGUAAACUACUGUCAGGGGUUAGGAAGAAAGUGACCAACCCCAAAGGAAGCCUCGGCUAACUCCGUGCCAGCAGCCGCGGUAAUACGGAGGAGGCAAGCGUUGUUCGGAAUUACUGGGCUUAAAGCGUGCGUAGGCGGGAUGGCAGGUGUCGUGUGAAAGCCCUCGGCUCAACCGAGGAAUUGCUCGGCAAACCGUCAUUCUUGAGGCCAGCAGGGGGACCUGGAACUUUGGGUGGAGCGGUGAAAUGCGUAGAUAU
rnacentral:rRNA from 1 species